UUCAGACCCGCUUCCGGGGGGCGGCGGCCGUCGGAGGCCUGGGUUGGGGGGUCGUGAGCCGGAUGUUCCCCGCAGCUGGCCAGAAAGCUGCCUCUGAGCCUCUUGAGCAACUCCCUGCCUCCUCCGGUAGUCUCUCUGGACUCUCCAAGUGACUUGCUGGGGGCACCGGGCGCGGGGAGGGCAGGCCCCCGGGGUGACGCAGAGAAACCCCGGGACUAGCUCUGUCCCUGGUGCCCCGGCUACUGCCAGCGGGUCCUUAGCGCUGUCGAUUGCGCGCACCGGAGCCCGAAGUCUUCCCCACCGCUGGCAGGAGAGCCCCGCGAGCUCUCCCGGACGUGUCGGGUCCUAAAGGGGAGAGCUGAGCAGCCACUUCAGGGAUUGCACUCCGAGGUGGCCGAGGCAGGGAGGAGCGCUGGCCCCGCGAAGGAGGCCUCAACCUUAGGACAACCCGGGCGUCCCGGGCGAAGGUCUCGAUCUGCCGGAGCCACUGCCUUUCAGGCAUCGCUCCAUUAAAGCCAGGGAGGAGAGGGUCAUUGGCCAGCGACCCGCCCUCCUUACGUCCGGAGGUCACCCCACGCCUACAGGCAGGUUUUUCUGUCUCCUUUGCAGAACACUAUGCGUUUGUUACAACGAUUAAAUGAAGAACACAGAA